rnacentral:rRNA from 1 species
GAUGAACGCUGGCGGCGUGCCUAAUACAUGCAAGUCGAGCGAAAAGACGAGGAGCUUGCUCCUCUGACGUUAGCGGCGGACGGGUGAGUAAACCGUGGAUAACCUACUUAUAAGACUGGGAUAAUUUCGGGAAACCGGAGCUAAUACCGGAUAAUAUAUUGAACCGCAGGGUUCAAUAGUGAAAGACGGUUUUGCUGUCACUUAUAGAUGGAUCCGCGCCGCAUUAGCUAGUUGGUAAGGUAACGGCUUACCAAGGCAACGAUGCGUAGCCGACCUGAGAGGGUGAUCGGCCACACUGGAACUGAGACACGGUCCAGACUCCUACGGGAGGCAGCAGUAGGGAAUCUUCCGCAAUGGGCGAAAGCUUGACGGAGCAACGCCGCGUGAGUGAUGAAGGUCUUCGGAUCGUAAAACUCUGUUAUUAGGGAAGAACAAAUGUGUAAGUAACUAUGCACGUCUUGACGGUACCUAAUCAGAAAGCCACGGCUAACUACGUG